rnacentral:lncRNA from 10 species
CAGUUCUGGAGGCAAGAAGUCCUAAAUCAGUGUCACCAGGCAGAAAUCAAGGUACUGGCAGAGCUGUCCUCCCUCCAGAUGCUCCAGGAUCUAGUUUGAGGCACAAGAAGGAUAAGACAUCAGUUUGACAAGAGCCCCUAUCAGAACAAUAUGAAUUCUACUAAAAUUGAAGCAAGAAUAUCAAAUUGAUGGUGAAGCUUGUGUGGAAGAAUGGUGAAAUCUUGAUGCUUUAUGAAAAGUUUAUGAGGACAAUGCCCUAAAGAAAUCAGCAGUUUUACAAAUAGAAAACUCAUUUGAAGAAGGGAUGAGAUGAUGUUGAAGAUAAAGCCUGCAGCAGCAGACCAUCCACAUCAAUUUGCAAGGAAAAUAUUUAUCUUGUUUGUGCCCUAAUUGCAGAGGACAAGCAAUUAAUAGACAACACUAUAGACAUCUCAAUUUGUUCAGCCUAUACAAUUCUGACUCAAAAACUAAAGUUGAGCAAACUUUCCAAUCAAUGGAUGCCAAAACUGUUAUGCCCAAAUCACCUGCAGACAAGAGCAGGGCAUUCAAUGGAAAUUUUAAACAAGUGAGAUCAAGAUCCUGAGGCACUUCUUUGAAGAGCUGUAACAGGAGAUGAAAAAUGGCUUUACCAGCACAAUCCUGAUGAUAAAGCAAAAUCGAAGCAAUGGCUAUCAAGAGGUGGAAGUGGUCCAGUCAAAGCAAAAGCAGACCAGUCAAGAUCAAACAGCAUGGCAACAGUUUUUGGGAUGCUCAAGGCAUUUUGUCUGGUGACUUUCUGGAAAGCCAAAGAAUGAUAACAAUGGCUUAUUAUGAGAGUGUUUUGAGAAAGUUAGCAAAAGCUUUAGCAGAAAAACACCCGAGAAAGCUUCACCGGAGAGUCCUUCUCCACCACAACAAUACUCCUGCUCAUUCCUCUCAUCAAACAAGGACAAUUUUGGAAAUGUUUCAAUGGGAAAUCAUUGAACAUCCACCUUACAGUCCUGAUCUGACUUCUUUUUGUUUCCUAAUCUUAAAAAAAUCUGG